UACGUAGGUGGCGAGCGUUGUCCGGAUUUAUUGGGCGUAAAGAGCGUGUAGGCGGCCGAGCAGGUCCGUUGUGAAAACUGAAGGCUCAACCUUCAGAGGUCGAUGGAAACCGUUCGGCUAGAGUCCGGAAGAGGAGAGUGGAAUUCCUGGUGUAGCGGUGAAAUGCGCAGAUAUCAGGAAGAACGCACGUGGCGAAAGCGGCUCUCUGGGACGGUACUGACGCUGAGACGCGAAAGCGUGGGGAGCGAACAGG
rnacentral:rRNA from 1 species